rnacentral:rRNA from 1 species
CUACGGGGGGCUGCAGUGAGGAAUUUUGCGCAAUGGGGGAAACCCUGACGCAGCAACGCCGCGUGAGUGAAGAAGGCCUUCGGGUCGUAAAGCUCUGUCAAGUGGGAAAAAAUGUCCCGGGUUAACAGUCCGGGAAACUGAUGGUACCACUGGAGGAAGCACCGGCUAACUCCGUGCCAGCAGCCGCGGUAAUACGGAGGGUGCAAGCGUUGUUCGGAAUCACUGGGCGUAAAGAGCGUGUAGGCGGUUUGGCAAGUCAGAUGUGAAAGCCCCGGGCUUAACCCGGGAAGUGCAUUUGAACUGCUAUACUUGAGUAUGGGGGAGGAGAGUGGAAUUACCAGUGUAGAGGUGAAAUUCGUAGAUAUUGGGAGGAACACCCGUGGCGAAGGCGACUCUCUGGACCAAUACUGACGCUGAGACGCGAAAGCGUGGGGAGCAAACAGGAUUAGAUACCCCCGUAGUC